AAUGGGGGAAACCCUGAUGCAGCCAUGCCGCGUGUGUGAAGAAGGCCUUCGGGUUGUAAAGCACUUUCAGCGAGGAGGAAAGGUUGAUGCCUAAUACGCAUCAGCUGUGACGUUACUCGCAGAAGAAGCACCGGCUAACUCCGUGCCAGCAGCCGCGGUAAUACGGAGGGUGCAAGCGUUAAUCGGAAUUACUGGGCGUAAAGCGCACGCAGGCGGUUGGAUAAGUUAGAUGUGAAAGCCCCGGGCUCAACCUGGGAAUUGCAUUUAAAACUGUCCAGCUAGAGUCUUGUAGAGGGGGGUAGAAUUCCAGGUGUAGCGGUGAAAUGCGUAGAGAUCUGGAGGAAUACCGGUGGCGAAGGCGGCCCCCUGGACAAAGACUGACGCUCAGGUGCGAAAGCGUGGGGAGCAAA
rnacentral:rRNA from 1 species